AGUUGCUCCUCAGACUUAACCCAUUAACUGCCAUCAUCUCUCUUUCUCUAUCUCUCCUCCCCCCCUUUUCUGUCUGUCUGCCUCUGGCCUUUGCCUCGGCCUGUCCACUCCUUUCCUCACCAUGGCGACUUAUUACGAGGCUGCGAUCACGUGACCAAUGCAUUGACGGAAGUAAAGACGGAAACCAUCCCAAGUGGUUCCAGUGAGGAGGCAGGUGGUGGAUGUGUCACAAAACACAGGGCUUUCACCAGGAGACUGGUGUGUGGAGCCAUGUAAACUCUGAGUGAACUUUGAGUCAUUUUAAGCCCUGUUUUGCUGCCUUUGAGUAAAGGCAGCGCAGCGAAUGUAAAGCUGUGUGAUAACAGGGCCAUUCGCCACAGCACUGAGUUUGACCCUGCAACCAGCCUCCAUGACGGAUGUGAGAUGAUUCCUAGCCCUCCAGCUCAGCACGACACACUCAGCACAACUCAAACACACUCUCCCAAUCUCUCUCUCGUUUUCCUGUGUUGCCUGUCUUCUUCUCCAUCUCUCUCCCUCUCUGUCAGUUACUCCGCAGAUUGACUCGCUGCUGUAUGCUGUCUAUUUAAAGCUGGUGCCAUAACCACCCACUGCUUCUUUAAGAAGUGGUGACUCACCUAAACAGAUCAGCCCAGCAGUGUGUGUGUAUGUGUGCGCGCACAUGAGUGUGUGUGUGUUUAGGGAUGUUAUAUCAUCUCGGCUUUAGUUCGUCUUUGGCUAUAGGCCUUCUCUGUUUGGUGACAAGUGCAGCUGUUUUUUAACGAUAGCGCUUGUCUGUGUGUCAAACCGGUAUCUGCAGGAUUCCCAGAUUAAUGCAAACACACACUCCAACAUACACACACACUCAGACCCAAUCUGUGCACUUAGUGUCACUGAGUUAUGUGCUAUUCUGGGUGCAUCCAGGGGACUUUCCAGCUUAUGGGAAAAGCAAAUGAGCGAAUUUGCAUUUUCCCCACUUUGCUCAGUAAUGAGAUAUAUGUAAGGGGCUAUAUGGGCGCAAAAUGAAGGUUGUGUAUCUGAGCAGACUAGGUAUGGCUGCCAAUUAGAAAACAAACAAGGCAAUGCAUAUGGUGUGUUCUGUAUGUGUGGCAGGAGCUUCCAGGCAGCCAGGCUGAGCAGUCUUCACUGCCAUGGUUUUGAGUCUCCCCUCACUUCUCUGCAUUAUUAAAUCAUCCCUGAAUAAUUCACUGCCUUUCGUAUCAAACAAAUAUUUUUGCAACUUGCACCUACAAAUAGGUGAGGGAAGGGCUGCUGUACCAUACUGUAUUUAGUCACGAGGAAGGCGAUGUUGGGAUAGAGUGUUUAUGUUUGUUUAUGAUCUGAAUGCUGUCCAGAUUUGGGAGGCUGUGUGAACGUCACGUGAGCUGCUGUUUGCUGCUGAAUGUCAUGAGUCAUGCCCUCACAGAGACCUGGCAUUCUUUCCUCUAUAUACACUGUGACAUACAGUAUGAUAUCAGUGUGCCUCAGCUGUGAUGUGCUUUACUUCUCUGAAGUUGACUCCAGAGAGCUCCAUCAAGUUGGCAGCACAUGUGCUUGUACUGAGAUAUAAUGUUUGUUUCUCAAUGUGACAUUUAGGUGUAUUGUCUCUUUUUCAUAUUCAAAUUAUUUGCACACAUAUAGAUAUAUGUGUUUUCCUCUGUUUAAUGUGGUCCUAAGGGUUUGAUUGCAUUACUUUUCUAUGCUUUUUUUUUUCAUUGGUAGUGAGACACAUAAGUAGAGUCUGACUCGGGUUGACCAGCCGAUGUGAUGCAGCACCUCAUCCACACCGUGAAUAACGACAUGUCUGCACCACCUAAAGUGCAUUGCUCCAGCAUGUUACUAUGCAAACUCUGUGCGGUGAAGAUUUUCAGACCCUGUCUGAGCGAUGAUAGGCGACGACUAAAUCCCAGCGAUGACGCCGCGAUGUCAUGGCGGGCAAGGACUGACUCGUGUGCUGACUUGUUAGUCAUGCUUUGAUGCACAGUUUAAAGAGGACUCCAGGAAGCCGGUCCAAUGCGCAUGCGCACUUCUCUCUCUCUGACACACACACACACACACACAGAAAAAACACACACUUUUUGCACAUUUGCACAAAGGAACACACAGCCGCUGAGUGCUUUAAAAGGAAAGCGGCUGCAUCAUUUGGUAGUCUGACAUGAAACCUUGGUCAUGUGUUUUUAUGAGGUGACUUCAGAACAGUUUCUUGUACAGUUACAGAAUUCAUAAACACUGAAAUUACAGCAUUAAAAAAGCACCUCAGAAUCAGGACACCAUUUGUUAAACUUAAAAAAAAAAUAACAGUCAGUUUAAAAAAAAAAAAGUGUUGCAUUCAAUCAUAUUAUAGGUCACUGUUUUAUUCAUGACUUUGCUUUUAAAAUGUGUGUCCCACUGUAAGCUAAAACAUGACAGUGACACAAUUACUGGUAUGCCCCUAAAAAUCGUAUGGAAAUUACUCAUUUUUUAGUUAAACCCACUGACAAUAUACAUACAUUUGAAGAAAAAAAAAUCACUCGAUUAGAUUGUGAUUUAAAAAUUAGGCCUGUAGUCUCUUUGGACGUUCAGUAAAGCCCGACGAGGAUUGUUGUCCCUGUGCUGGUGCUUAGAGUUAGACACAGUGUUGAAACCUUUUAUAGCACACAGAGAGAGAGAAAACUUUAUUUAGUAUAUUUAGUUCUAUAAAAGUAAGUUAGAGUUAUGGUGAUGACUUAUAUAUACAGUACACAUAUAAUGUCCUCUGUGUGGGGUCAAAUGUAAUUAAACUACAAGGUGAUAACUUAUGUGUUAACAUAGCAAUAUAAUGGAAUGGUCAAUCAACACAAAAUAAAACAAAAUAAAAUAGAAUAAAAAUAAAAGUUGUUGCUGAUAUAUUAGAAAUAAAAUCCACUGCAUUUUAUUUACAUUGCUGCUCACAGCCUUGUCGGAAAAAUAAAUAAAAAAGCAUUGAAAUUAUUUAUUUUCAAGUGUCACUCCUAAACUUGGCCAUAAGGCCACUUUUCUAACUUUGUUUUGAGAUGAUGAUAUUUCCUAAUAAAGAGAUAAAUUAAAAGUAAGAUAAUAAAUCAACAACAAGAUAACCAGAGGCACUGAUAUAUUUCAUUUUAGUAUUAAAAAUAUUCUCACUUACUUUAAUAUGAGUAUAUCAUUUAGAAAAAAUAUAUAUAUGCCUGAUAUGAUGUACUUGCUUCAUUUAUUUUGUUAUUACCUGUGAUAUAUUUUUUGUCAUAUUUGACUUUAUUUUGCUUUUUGUUUUGAUUGUGGAUGAUUCCCUUCAUAUAAAAUGAUUUCUGAUUUGACUUUAGAGAAUUCAUGUAGUGUGACAUGUAAUACUGCAGUG